ACGGCCCCCCUGAACGCUGUCUGAAGUUGCAGUCUGAGACCUAUAACGAAAUUAGUUAAAACUUUCAACAACGGAUCUCUUGGUUCCGGCAUCGAUGAAGAACGCAGCGAAAUGCGAUAACUAAUGUGAAUUGCAGAAUUCAGUGAAUCAUCGAGUCUUUGAACGCACAUUGCGCCCUCUGGUAUUCCGGAGGGCAUGCCUGUCCGAGCGUCAUUGCUGCCCUCAAGCCCGGCUUGUGUGUUGGGCCCCGUCCCCCCCGCCGGGGGGACGGGCCCGAAAGGCAGCGGCGGCACCGCGUCCGGUCCUCGAGCGUAUGGGGCUUCGUCACCCGCUCUAGUAGGCCCGGCCGGCGCCAGCCG
rnacentral:rRNA from 1 species